rnacentral:lncRNA from 1 species
UUUGUCUUUUUAGGGCCACACUUGCGGCAGAUGGAGGUUCCCAGGCUAGGGGUCGAAUUGGAGCUGCAGCUGCCAGCCUAUGCCACACCACAGCAAUGCGGGACUUGAGCUGAGUCUGUGACCUACACCACAGCCACGACAAUGCCGGAUCCUUAACCACUGGACGAGGCCAGGGAUCAAACCCGCAUCAUCAUAGAUGCUAGUCAGAUUUCCUUCUAUUGCACCAUAGUGGGAACUUCCUAUUUAUUUAUACUUUUUGAAGCAGGAGAUAAGUACAACUAGACUCUUAUUUAUACUUCCUGAUGAAGGAGACAGGUGGGUUCUGGGAUGAACAUUUGCAACCAGCCACCUAUCUAUACUUCAAAAUAGAAAUAACAGGCACAAGGCAAAUAACUGGUACUCGUCUUCUAUGAACUUGUUAAACAACAGCAAUGACAGGAUCAAAAGAGGGGCUGAACCCUGCUUGGACAGAACCCUGCUUGGACAUGAACUCCCCAUCCUUGGUUGGGAUCAGGGAGACCCCAACUACACAUGCGCAGAGAGACUACUCUGGGUCAGAUAGGGAGGGGGUGCCAGGCCAUAAUAAGUCUGGAUAACCUUCCCACCAUGCUCUGCUUUGGAAUCCAUCUUGGACAAAAGGUGUGUAUGCAAAUCAGGGGAGGGCCCUGGGUCUGGUCUGGUGCAGCAAACAAGAUAAACAAGAUAAUUGGCCAAAGGAAGACAAAGACCUGGAAGAACCACCCCAUAUAAGUCUCUCUUGCUCCUCACUCAGGGGGACAACAGCACCCUCGCUUCUCCUUUGGGUGUGUAUUACUGCUUUACUUCUGCCUUAGAUAAAUAGACUAAUUCUCUGUAUUUCCGGGCUCUCUUAUAUGUUGUACUAUGUUUUUAACAAUAAACUUUAUACUUAUUUUUAGUCUUUGCCUUCUUGAAACAUUCUUGCUUUCAACAGGGGCAAGAAUCAAGACUAUUCUGCUUUCAACCUCUAGCUACCCCUAGUGGCUAGGAUUCCUGGUUUCAUCUAGGUUGCCCAGGUUCAAUUCCUGAGCAGAGAAUUAAGAUCUUGCUUUUAGCUAUCACCCACUGCUGUCUCUCUGAAAUCACUUGGCACUGAAACCUGGGAACUUUAAGUUAGAUUGCUGGAAAUCUGGGAAUUCAAGGUAAGCUGUAGGUCUCGCCCAGUUGCCUGUGGCUUGAGACCUCCUGGCUUUUCUCUGACUCUCUCAUGCUGUCAUGAAUACACCUUGCUCUCUCCUUUACUUCCUUUCUAAGACCCACCAGGCAUAAUCUUGGUCUGUUCACUGUGUUAUGGCUCCCCUUAAAGUUUAAGGGUGGUAGGGGUUAUUCCCAAGGCCAUGCAAACUCAAAUAAUACUUGGGUGACAGCUGACACUGUCCUUGGGACCUGGUGGAAACAUGAUUUCCAGCCAUGAAGGAGCCCAAGGGGUCUUCUUUCCCUUUCUCCUUCUCCCUCUUUCUCCUGCUGCCAGGUAACCUGCUGGCUCUAGUUUUCUGCCUAAACUACAACCCCCAGCAUGCCAUGCACCCAAGUGCCUUCAUCAGCAAAGUUUGCAACUCACUGGGAAUCAAAGCUCGGCAUUAGUGCUGCGUCCAGCAAGUUGCAAUCUGCUGCACACCAGUUUGUUUUGUGGGGACAGAGUUACACUCCAGGCACCCGUGGGCUCUGCCUACAACCUUCUGUUACCUCCUGUUUGGUACAGCCUGCUCCUUGCCCUUGCUGUCUUUUUCCUAGAAUGGCCCCACCAUUGCACGCUCCAUCCUUCCACCACCCUUUGCCCUCCUCUGCAACUUUCACUCCUACUUCAUGUGUCUGGCAAGGUUCCCUUUUCACCCAAUACUUUAGCCUCCUUGUGAUAAAGAUUUUCUAGACUUAACCUCUCUCUUGCCACUACCAAAUUCAUUGUUUUCAGUGUCAGAUAAAAUCCUUAGGUCUUCGUCAACUUUACCUUAUCUGGCAAACAAGGCAACAGACUUGGUUCCUCUGCUGUUUACUUUACUCUAUGCCUCAAAUUGUCUAUGAGAAUACUCCCAUUUCUCAGUGCUCAGGUCCUGACAUGUUCCAUUAUGGCCAACUCCAAUUCCUCCAUGAGAUCCCCUUUCAAUCCAGGCCUUGGCAACCUAUGCACUAUUAUAGAUGAUAGAUCCCCUCAUAAGAACAUCCUGACCGUGGCUCUGUAUAGGCCCAAAUGUCCUCCUCAGGCAAAAAGGGAGGACACCUUGCAUGAGGCAUCAAGGACAAGGGCAGCCAGAGAUGUCUGGUCAGGUACUGAUGGGGGAGUGGAGGAUGCUUCAAACCCCAUCUGCAACCAGAAUCUGGAAGGGAAUUCAGGGGACACCCUAAUUGCCCUUCAGGUGUCUUCUAGGUAAUAUAUCUGGGACGCUGGACUUCAUUUCUAGGAGAAAUAUUUAUUUUCCACCGUGUGUUACUCAACAUGGAAAGAUCUCCUUCUAAUCCAGAAGAAACACCUCUGGAAUGUAUCCUUAAAAACUGGAAACUUUUAAAGAUAGAUGGGCUGAAAAAGGAAAAACUUAAAACAUACUCUUAACACUGCCUGGCCUUUAUAUAACUUGGGGGAUGCAAAAUGGCAUGAAAAUGGGUCUGCUAUUUUACAAUUGGAUCUUUAUUGCCACAGGAUGAGAAAAUGGACUAAGGCUCCCUAUAUUUGGGCUUUUCUGGCCCUUUAUCAGACUCGCCCUUUAUCAGACUCUCGCUCUGUAAAGCUCCUAUAAUCAAACACCUGAGAAAUGAAAAACUCUCCUGAAAUUCUAAAAGGUCCCCUUCUAACUUCCCCAACUCUCGGGGGGGGGGCACGGGGGGAGACUGAGAGUCACACAUACUCCUACCAGUAACUCUUCUCAUGUCCUUAAAAUGUAAACAUAGCCUGCUUUGCCUGAGCCCUCAUCCUUGGGUGAAUUAGUAGAACUCCAAGCUAUGGAAAAAAAUAAAUAAAAAAGAUGAUUUUAGAACAGGAGAAUUCACCUGAAGCAGUAAACAAUGAAACAGACCUCUGCAGUCUAAUAGACACUGAGUUCAAAAGGGAGACAGUGAAAAUAUGGAAGGAAUUAAGGGUGAAUAUGAAGGAAUUAAGAGCAGAUAUAAACAGUAAUGCAGAUUACUUAGAAAGGAACUAGAAAACGUAAGGAGGAGCCAAGAAAAAUUAUAAAAUACAUUUGCAGAGACACAAACUGAGCUAAAGGCACUAAAGAGCAGAAUGAAUAAUGCAGAGGAACAAAUUAGUGACUUGGAAGAUAGAAUAAUGGAAAUCACACAAUCAGGACAGCAGACAAAAAAGCAAAUGAAAAUACAUGAAAGCAAUAUAAGGUAUCUAUGGGAUAACAUAAAGCUGGCCAAUCUAUGCAUAAUAGGGAUUCCAGAAGAGAAGAAAAAGAAAAGCAGAUUGAAAAUAUAUCUGAAGAAAUUACGGCUGAAAACUUUCCAAGUUUAAAGGAAACAGAUAUCAGACACAGGAAGCACAGAGGGCCCCAAACAAGUUGAACCCAAAAAGGCUCAUACCAAGACAUACUAUAAUAAAAAUGGCAAAAGUUAAAGCUAAGCAGAGAAUUCUAAAGGCAGCAAGAGAAACACAAAACAUUUAAUUAUUAAGGAACCCCCAUAAGGCUAUCAGCUGAUUUCUUUACAGAAGCACUACAGGCCAGCAGAGAGUGGCAAGAUAUAUUCAAAGUUCUAAAAUGGAAAAAUUUGCAUCCUAGAAUACUCUACCCAGCAAGAAUAUCAUUUAAAAUAGAAGGAGAAAUAAAGAAUUUCUCUAACAAACAAAAGCUAAAAGAGUACAGCAAUACUAAACCCAUUUUAAAAGAAAUACUGAAAGGGCAAUAAAAAAAGAAGAAGAAAUAGAAUGGAGGAAAUCACUAUUGGGAAGUAAUCACUUAAAUAAGCCAGUAUACAGAUCUAAAAGGGGAGAAGAAAAAAAACAUGUUGUAAAAGUGAUGAUAAACACAAGGAACAGCAAAAAGACAAAUAUGAAGAUGUUAAAAAAGAAGAACAAACAAAACCUAAAGCCAGCAAAAGGAAAGGAAGGAAAUCAUAAAGAUCAGAGAGGAAAUCAAUAAAAUAGAGAUUCAAAAAAUAAUAGGAAAAAAAUCAAUAAAACCAAGAGCUGGUUCUUUGAAAUGGUAAACAAAAUUGACAAACCUCUGGUCAGACUCACCAAGAAGAGAGAAAAAACCCAAAUAAAAAAAUAAGAAAUGAAAAAGGAGAAAUCUCAAUGGAUACUGCAGAAAUAAAAAAAAAAAGAGAGAGAGAGAAUACUAUGAACAAUUAAUUAUAUGCCAACAAAUUUAACAACCUAGAAGAAAUGGACAACUUUCUAGAGACUUACAGCCUGCCAAAGUGAAUCAACUGAACAAACCAAUCACUAGAAAUGAUAUUGAAUAUGUAAUAAAAAUGCUCCCUCCAGACAAAAGUCCAGGACCAGAUGGCUUCACAGGUGAAUUCUACCAAUCAUACCAAAAAACUCUUAUACCCACCCUUCUUAAACUUUUCCAAAAGGUUGAAGAAGGAAUAUUGAAGAAGGAAUACUCCCAAAGACAUUCUAUGAAGCCACCAUCACCCUAAUAACAAAACCAGACAAAGAUACUACCAAAACAAAAAAAUUAUAGGCCAAUAUCUUGAUAAAUAUUGACACAAAAAUUCUCAACAAAAUUUUAGCCAAUGAAUCCAACAACAUAUAAAAAAGAUCAUACACCUCAACCAAGUGGGAUUCAUCCCAGGUUCACAAGGAUGGUACAACAUAUGCAAAUUAAUGUCAUACACCACAUUAACAAAAGAAAAGUAAAAAACCACAUGAUCAUCUCAAUAGGUGCAGAAAAAGGAUUGACAAGUCCAAUAUCCAUUCAAGAUAAAAACUCUUACCAAAGUGGUUAUAGAGGGAACAUACCUUAACGUAAUCAAAGCCAUUUAUGACAAACCCACAGCAAAUAUAAUACUCAAUGGAAAAAAGCUAAAAACCUUCCUGCUAAAAUGUGGAACAAGACAAGGAUUCCCACUCUUACCACUUUUAUUCAAAAUAGUAUUGGAGGUCCUAGCCAUAGCAAUCAGACAAGAAAAAAAAAAAAAAAAAAAAAA